GAUGAAGAACGUAGCGAAAUGCGAUAAGUAAUGUGAAUUGCAGAAUUCAGUGAAUCAUCGAAUCUUUGAACGCACAUUGCGCCCGCCAGUAUUCUGGCGAGCAUGCCUGUUCGAGCGUCAUUUCAACCAUCAAGCCCCAGGCUUGUGUUGGAGCCCUGCGGCUGCCGCAGCCUCCCAAAACCAGUGGCGGGCUCGCUAUCACACCGAGUGCAGUAGUUUACUCUUCGCUCAGGGCGUGUGGCGGGUGCUAGCCGUGAAACCCCCAGCUUCUCAAGGUUGACCUCGGAUCAGGUAGGAAUACCCGCUGAACUUAAGCAUAUCAAUAAGCGGAGGA
rnacentral:misc_RNA from 1 species